UUAACGGCUGACAAAUUACGUGCCUGACUCCUGCCUUCACUAGCUCAGGCACUUGUUGUAACGCUCACGAGCUAUCAAGCUAACGAAACGAUGGCAGGGGCACAAUGGAAAAAGUGAAAAACGUAUCAUUUUCAUGUAGAAUGGGAACACUAUUUUCUGUUCACCGUAGUUAAGGACAGAAAUGAUUUGCUUGAUUCGUCACCAGGCUGUAGCGCUCUCAAAAAAGUAACUUGAGGCGGCACCAAAAACUCAACCCUCCCCAAGUUCAAAGAAACCUACCCGCUAAAGAGCAAGCUUUGUUCAAAGAAUUGACAAGUCUGUAUUGAAAGCACAGCAGUCUCUUUUUACCAAACCGACCGCUAAAAGUAAGGCUGGAGGCAUCCUUCUGUGUCAGCCAUCUCUUGGCUAAAUAUAAGAAACCGUUCACCGAUGGAGAGCUAUACAAGGAGGCAUUGGACAUUGCUGCCAAGAAAUUAUUCAAAAAAUUCAAAAACAAAGACAUUAAAAAUGCUAUCGAAGUGUGCCACUUGGCCCAGCCAUUGUGACAAAAAAAGGUAGAGUCGUUAUAGGAGGACGUGAAUCAACAAGUGCUCAAGGAUUUAUCACUUUGGGAGUGCUUAUCGCUGCAAUGGUGAUGGUGUUUGUUAACAUGGCUUUUAAGGAUUCAACUACUAAGGAGGCUUUUCUCAAUCUUUUACCAUUAAAAGGGACGACAAGAGGUGAGGACAUUUACAACGAGUUUAAACUUUACGUGCGCGAUAACAGCAUUCCUAUUCAUAAGCUGGUAGCGAUCACGACAGACUGGCAAAUCGACAGACUGGCAAUUCGUGGGGUGCAUUCGGGCUUCGUUGUACAGUGCCAUCGGUAUCCCAAUUUCCCAGAGUUUUUGAACUAUCACUGUGUGAUUCAUCAGCAAGCACUACAUAGUAAAGUAAUUAACUUGUCAUUAUGAUUGUUAAUUUGAUUCGUGCAAAAGGACUUCAGCACUGCUUGUUUAAAUCUUUAUUAGAUGAGCUUGAUGCCUCAUACAGUGACUUGAUUCUUCACGCUUGCGUAAGGUGCUUGAGUCGAGGGAAAGUGCUGCAGCGAUUUGUUGACUUGCUGCCCGAGAUCAAAUCAUUUCUGGAGUCACGAAAUGAGGAACAUGAGGGAACUGUCUGAUGCAUGGCUGCAAGAUGUAGGUUUCCUCACGGACAUAACAGCAAAACUGAACGAGCUCAACUAUGAGCUUCAAGGAAAAGACAAAGACACAUGAUCAGUGCUGUCAAUACCUUUAAGGCCUCUCAGCCCACACAGUUUCUCUGAAGGCUGGUGCGCUUCCCAAACAUGGAGAAAAUGUUGCAAAACCUUACAUAGAGGAGGAUGUUGCAUUUAUCUCAAACCCUUUCCUCCCCACUGAGAUUGAAGAAGUGUCCGCCAGAUUCCAGCAAGUAUGUGCUUUACCAAUCGAAGUUGACAUGGAGAUAAUUGAAUUGCAAAAUGACAUCGAGUUGAAAGCAAGACCAAGAGUCAUUUGGGGUCUUGUAAAAACUGAAAAGUGUCCCCUCCGUUUAUCCUGCAUCUCUGUGAGAUGGCCUUUUCACUGAUUAAAAGAAUCAAGUCAAAGAACAGGCCUUUUCUAACUAAUAGACAUCUCACAGACAGUGACAGACUUGCAGUGUCAAACUAUGAGCCAGACUACAGAGCACUUGCUGAUAGUGUGCAAUCACAGCCAUCACAUGAAUGUGUGUGUGUGGGGAGGGAGUUUCAUCCACAGCCAUUAGAGUGAUACUAUGAAGACACCCCUGAUCUCGACAAGAGGCUCAAUAUUCUGAGAAAUUCACAAUUCAGGGUAACGGCAAUCAUAUCUACCUAAGGGGGAAGGAUGGCCAGCCACACAGGACGGUGAUUUUUACUAAGGAGGAGAAGGAGGCCGUGCUGACAGAGAUGCAUGCUGGACAUUUUGGAGUGAAGUGCAUGAAUGCCAAAAUCAACCUACGCUUCUUCUGACGGCGAAUUGUCAAGGAGGUGGACAGCCGGGCAAGUGAAAUAACCUUUUGUUUAUCAAUCACAUUCUAUUAUAUCUGAAAUUAUUAUGAUUUCAAUUAAUGUCAUAUCAGAGAGCACACAAUGUUCCAUUUGUCACUUUUUUUUACAAAUUGGUCAGUAUCCUGUCUAGCCCGCCAGAAGUUUGAGAGGGCGAAGACUGUGGCACCGGAGUUGAAACCCAUCAAAGUUGUUUCACCAUGGCACAUGAUCGCGGUGGACCUCAUCGGACCCUUCGCGAAAUCCAGGAAUGUCAACAGCUGGUGUCUGACGGCGAUCAAUCACUUUAUCAAGUGGGUGGAGGCAAUACCCAUUAUGGACGAGACUAGCGAAGCCACCUCCAAGGCGAUGGUGGAGUAUCUUCAACAAACGCGGUUCUCCUGAGGUCAUCUUGAGUGACCGAGGUCAUGAACAUUGGAACAAGGUUUGGGAAAUGGACCAACCAGACCCUCAAGACUGCAUUGGGCAAGUCCCUUGAUACCAGGAAGGGUGGGAGAACAACCUGAAGGUAAUUCUCUUUGCACACAACAGCAGCAUCUACGCCGAGUACGGACGGGAGCCACAGCUGUUGACUGAGGUAAACAAUGCAAUUGCAUAUACAGUUAUUGCAUAUACUGUAGUCUUUCAAAUGUGUGAUUGUCUUAGUGUUGUGGUUGUCCUUUGCGGUUUUUGUAUAACGUACUUUCAGAUCACUAAAACCACACCUGAUGUGGUGGAAGUUGUCGAACCAGAUCAGACCCCCUUUGUGUACUACCUUCAUGGACUGAGGAGGAUGUGGAGGUUUUUGACCAGAUAAAAUGAUUGCCCGCUGUGAAAAAGAAUAUAUAACACUGCACUAAUCCAUUACAUUUUCUCACAGUAAAGUGUAACCUGUGUGUUUGCUUGUUUACGUCUGUCUCCUUUCCUUUUAAGUCUGCUCCUGUUCUCCAGGACCUAGGGGUUCUACCCAACACCCAGACGUGGAUCCACCUGAUGCCCUCCAUUACCAACCAUCCUCCAACUUCUCAUGACAUCAGCUAUUGUUAUUGUCAUGCUGUCAUUAUCUGCCAAGAAAGUUUCUUGCUCUAUCAUACUGAGCACAUAAUAUGUGAGAUACAGAGAUGAACUGCAAACACUCAGAACAAAGAGAGCAGCAGUCUCCCUCUUCAAGUCCCCCUUCUGAGAUUGGCUGCCUGUUGAGAACAAGUGACAGGCAAAAUUCCACACACUAGAAUUCAGUAUUUUAGUCUAUGAUAUCCAUAUGAGUGUACAACUAAACUAAUGACACAAGUGUACCAAAAACUAUCAAAGUUUAUGUAUUAAAAUCUUAAAUAUUGCCAGGUCGGUUUUCA